GAUGAACGCUGGCGGCGUGCCUAAUACAUGCAAGUCGAGCGAACGGACGAGAAGCUUGCUUCUCUGAUGUUAGCGGCGGACGGGUGAGUAACACGUGGAUAACCUACCUAUAAGACUGGGAUAACUUCGGGAAACCGGAGCUAAUACCGGAUAAUAUUUUGAACCGCAUGGUUCAAAAGUGAAAGACGGUCUUGCUGUCACUUUUAGAUGGAUCCGCGCUGCAUUAGCUAGUUGGAAAGGUAACGGCUUACCAAGGCAACAAUGCAUAGCCGACCUGAGAGGGUGAUCGGCCACACUGGAACUGAGACACGGUCCAGACUCCUACGGGAGGCGGCAGUAGGGAAUCUUCCGCAAUGGGCGAAAGCCUGACGGAGCAACGCCGCGUGAGUGAUGAAGGUCUUCGGAUCGUAAAACUCUGUUAUUAGGGAAGAACAUAUGUGUAAGUAACUGUGCACAUCUUGACGGUACCUAAUCAGAAAGCCACGGCUAACUACGUG
rnacentral:rRNA from 1 species